AUGUUGGCAGGUGCAGCCUGGGGCAGUGGUAGAAGGGGAGCAGAGGCUGCAAUUCCUGUCACACCCCAGCCUCAAGAGGCUGGCAGAGCAUGGAGUGAACUUCAGCUUCUCUGGGGCCCAGGGGCUGCUUUUGGACACACAUCAGGCACUAAAGAUGGCCCAGGCUGUGGAUUACCUGUGAACUUCAAUGCUGAACAUUACUGAACUCCACUACUAUGAAUUCAGGGUAGAAUGAGGCUGCACUUUCCAAGCCAGCAAAAGAAAAUAUGAACGUGUGGAAAGAGGAUCUGGAAGAGCACGAGCAAGUGGGUGAGCACUGACCCAUUGAAAGGGAGUCUUUGCCCAGUGGUAAAUGUCUGGAGCAACCCCUAGCAGCAAGUACAGGAAAAGGGAUGUUACUAACUUUGUUGGACUUGCU
rnacentral:lncRNA from 1 species